rnacentral:rRNA from 1 species
CAUGCAAGUCGAACGAAGCACUUUAUUUGAUUUCCUUCGGGACUGAUUAUUUUGUGACUGAGUGGCGGACGGGUGAGUAACGCGUGGGUAACCUGCCUUGUACAGGGGGAUAACAGUUGGAAACGGCUGCUAAUACCGCAUAAGCGCACAGCAUCGCAUGAUGCAGUGUGAAAAACUCCGGUGGUAUAAGAUGGACCCGCGUUGGAUUAGCUAGUUGGUGAGGUAACGGCCCACCAAGGCGACGAUCCAUAGCCGACCUGAGAGGGUGACCGGCCACAUUGGGACUGAGACACGGCCCAAACUCCUACGGGAGGCAGCAGUGGGGAAUAUUGCACAAUGGGCGAAAGCCUGAUGCAGCGACGCCGCGUGAGCGAAGAAGUAUUUCGGUAUGUAAAGCUCUAUCAGCAGGGAAGAUAAUGACGGUACCUGACUAAGAAGCACCGGCUAAAUACGUGCCAGCAGCCGCGG